GAGUUUGAUCAUGGCUCAGGAUGAACGCUAGCUACAGGCUUAACACAUGCAAGUCGAGGGGCAUCGGGAAGAAAGCUUGCUUUUAACUUAUCUUAGCGGCGGACGGGUGAGUAACGUGUGGGCAACCUGCCUCAUACAGAGGGAUAAUCAUGUGAAAACGUGACUAAUACCUCAUGUCAUUGCCGGAAGGCAUCUUCAGGCAAGAAAAGGAGUAAUCCGGUAUGAGAUGGGCCCCGCAUCUGAUUAGCUAGUUGGUGAGAUAAUAGCCCACCAAGGCAACGAUCAGUAGCCGACCUGAGAGGGUGAUCGGCCACAUUGGGACUGAGACACGGCCCAAACUCCUACGGGAGGCAGCAGUGGGGAAUAUUGCACAAUGGGGAAACCCUGAUGCAGCAACGCCGCGUG
rnacentral:rRNA from 1 species